ACAGCAGUCGCCGCGGUAACACGUAGGGUGCAAGCGUUAAUCGGAAUUACUGGGCGUAAAGCGUGCGCAGGCGGUUAUAUAAGACAGAUGUGAAAUCCCCGGGCUCAACCUGGGAACUGCAUUUGUGACUGUAUAGCUAGAGUACGGCAGAGGGGGAUGGAAUUCCGCGUGUAGCAGUGAAAUGCGUAGAUAUGCGGAGGAACACCGAUGGCGAAGGCAAUCCCCUGGGCCUGUACUGACGCUCAUGCACGAAAGCGUGGGGAGCAAACAGGAUUAGAUACCCCCGUAGUCCCUGUCUCUUAUAA
rnacentral:rRNA from 1 species